AUGGACAGGAACCAACGCGACGCGGCCCCUCCCCCUCCAGGCCCCCUCGUCCUAGGAGCGGGGGGAGGUCUGGCGGCCCGGCCUUGGGGAGAGUCGGGCUCCUCCUGCAGCCUCUGUGGAGGAGGGGCUGCUCCGUCCCCAAGGCCGCGGCGGCGCGAGGGGUCUCCCCGCGCACCCUCCCCGACCCCGGCUGUUCCGUGGGCAGCCUCGGCCCGCUGGCCCCCCCAGCCCGGGGACAGCAGACAUCCUGCGAGUCGGACCUCUCUCGCCGGGGCGGGGGGCUGUGGCCAGGGGCGCCCGGGGCUCACACAGCCCCCGGGGGUGCAGGAGGCGCCAGGAAGGAGGGUGGGAGCCCGCGGGGUGGGGGCAGCCCUGGGAGAGCAGCCGCUCCCCCCCCCAAGGGAGGGUGGAGACUGGCCCUGGGGGAAUGAAGGGCGUGGGCGCCGCGGAGGCCCCAAUACCCGGGUGGCCAGGAGGGAAGGGGAGCCUCAGAGCCAGAAACUACCCAAACACGCACUCGGAUGCACACGCGUGUGCAUGCAGUAUACACAGGUGUACUCCCAGGCACACACGUGUGUGCACACAGGAGCAUUUAUUUUUAUAACGCGUGUAGGACACAGGCUCCUAUGUACAUGCAUCCACAUGCAUGCAUCCACAGACACGCAUGCACGUGCAUGCAUGUAUGCAGUGUACACGGGUGUGUUCCCAGCCACAUACACGUGUGUGUACACAGAAGCAUUCACGUGUGUAGAUGUGUGUAGGACACAAGCGCCAUAUGUGCUUGCAUGCACACAUGCGUGUGUGCACGCAGAAGCAUUCAUGUGUGUACACGUGUGUAGGACACAGAAGCCUAUGUACAUGCAUGCACACACAUGCAUACACAUGCACACACGUGCAUCCAUGCAGUGUACACGGGCGUGCUCCCAGGUACACACUCGUGUGCACACAGAAGCAUUCAUGAAUAUGCAUGCAUGUAGGACACAGGUGCCAUGUGCACACACAUGCACACGCAUGCACACAUGCUCCAAGCAGCAGGGAAGCAGCCCCCGCAGUGCAGGGGGAAGGACAGCAGUGAGUCCUCCAGAACCGCUGACUGCACGUUAA
rnacentral:lncRNA from 12 species